rnacentral:rRNA from 1 species
UACAGAGGUCUCAAGCGUUGUUCGGAUUCAUUGGGCGUAAAGGGUGCGUAGGCGGCGUGGUAAGUCGGGUGUGAAAUCUCGGAGCUUAACUCCGAAACUGCAUUCGAUACUGCCGUGCUUGAGGACUGGAGAGGGGACUGGAAUUUACGGUGUAGCGGUGAAAUGCGUAGAUAUCGUAAGGAAGACCAGUGGCGAAGGCGGGUCUCUGGACAGUUCCUGACGCUGAGGCACGAAGGUCAGGGGAGCAAACGGG